UUUGUUCUCUCAUACACUCCUCUCUACUCUUUUAUCCUCUCACUUGUACUUCCACACCAACACCACCACCACCACCACCACCACCACCAUUUCUACCAUCAUUUUCCGGCAAGAUCACCGGAAAAUUGUUGUGAACUCAUAAACACCUUCACAUCCUUUAUUUGAGGUUCUAGCUAAUCUCCUUGGAGCUUGGAGAAUUAGGCUUUUGCGGUUGCGAGUCUUUGUGACAAUGGAAUCAAAUCCAGGUCAGUGCCCUUUCACUUUGGAUGAUGCGUUCUUCCUUACUGCCCAUGGGGGGAAGAGGUUCCUUGAUUGUGUGUGGGUGAGGUUGCUGCCCAUGGGGCCAAGAGACCACAUGCAAGAGAGGUUUUAUUUGAUGCGCUCUCUCUGCUGCCCAUGGGGGGAGAGAAAAACCUUGAGGGUAUGGGUGAGGCUAUUAUCCACGGGGUCAAGAGUCUGCAUACCAAAGAUGACAAUAUCAUGCCAGUUGUGAAUGGGUGGAUCCCCUGACUGAUCUAUGUGAUAGUGUGGUAUAUUUGUGAUAAAUUACCUUAUGUUAGAUAUAAUGGCUUUGGAAAUUAUAUUGUUGGUGCUUAUAGAUUAUAGUAUACAGUUUCAAGGUAUUUACUUUAAGAAACUUUGUAUUUCAUUAUUAAAUAAUUCUUGUCAUAUUAUUAUUAUUGAAGAUAAAACUUGCAUUUCCCCCACCCCCA